ensembl:lncRNA
UAACAGUCUCCUUUUAUUUAGUUAGUUUCCUCGGCAGGUUUGGCCGCCCGCUUGUCUCUGCCCCCCAGCGGGCCCGGGGCGCCUUGGAUGCCUCGGUGCUGCCUGCAGCCCCUGUGCGCUGCCCCCCGGCCCAGCCAGCGCGGCCCGGAGCGCGGCCGCCGGAGCCACAGCCCCCUCUUGCCGCGACCUCGCCUGACCCGACUCUCCCAGCACCCAGAGCCAACUAAGGCCGCCCCCCGCCCGGACGCUCGUCUGCUCCCAGCUCGAGACUUCCCUCCCCGGACUUUGGAGUCUCUUCUGCUUUGGGGUUUGGAACCCGAUCGCCCUGGAGCGGCUGAAGAGCCGCGGCGAUAGGAAGGCAGCGGAGGAGGCCAGUGGCCGGAGACUGCCCCAGCCCCCACCCCGCGGGUAACCUUGGAGGCGCCCUCGGAAAAAUGUUUUAUGUAGCUGCUGCUGCUGCUACUACUAAAUCGCUUCAAUCAUGUCCGACUCUGUGUGACCCCAUGGACUGCAGUCCUCCAGGCUCCUCCAUCCAUGGGACUCUCCAGAUCCGCUGUUUCGUGCAUAUAUAUUUAGUAUUGCUGUGUCUUCUUGGUGGAUUGAUCACUAUAUAAUGCAUUAUACAUUCAGCAAAACAAGACCAGGAGCUAACUGUGGCAUGAACUCCUUAUCGGAAAAUUCAGACUUAAGUUGAAGAAAGUAGGGAAAACCACUAGACCAUUCAGGUAUGACCUAAAUCAAAUCCUUAUGAUUAUACAGUGGAAGUGAAAAAUAGAUUCAAGGGAUUAGAUCUGAUAGAGUCCCUGAAGAACUGUGGACAGAGGUUCGUGACAUUAUACAGGAGGCAGUGAUCAAAACCAUCCCCAAGAAGAAGAACUACAAAAGGCAAAAUGGUUGUCUGAGGAGGACUUAGAAAUAGCUGAGAAAAGAGAGCUGCAAAACACAAAGGAGAAAAGGAAAGAUAUAUCCAUCUGAAUGCAGAGUUCCAAAAAAUAGCAAGGAGAGAUAAGAAAACCUUCCUAAGAGAACAAUGCAAAGAAAUAGAGGAAAAGGAUAGAAUGGGAAAGACUAGAGAUCUCUUCAAGAAAAUUAAAGAUACCAGAGGAACAUUUCAUGCAAAGAUACGCACAAUAAAGAACAGAAAUGGUAUGGACCUAAGAGAAGCAGAAGAUAUUAAGAAGAGGUGGCAAGAAUACACAGAAGAACCAUACAAAAAAGAUCUUCAUGACCCAGAUAGCCACAAUGGUGUGAUCACUCACCUAGAGCCAGAUAUCCUGGGAAGCAAAGUCAAAUGGGCUUUAGGAAGCAUCACUAUGAACAGAGCUAGUGGAGGUGAUGAAAUUCCAGUUGAGCUAUUUCAGAUCCUAAAAGAUGAUGCUUGAGAGUACCAUACUCCAUAUGCCAGUAAAUUUGGAAAACUCAGCAGUGGCCACAGGACUGGGAAAGGUCAGUUUUCACUCCAAUCCCAAAGAAAGGCAAGGACAAAGAAUGUUCAAACUACCACACAAUUGCAAUCCUCUCAUAAGCUAGCAAGGUAAUGCUCGAAAUUCUCCAAGCUAGACUUCAGCAGUACGUGAACCGUGAACUUUCAGAUGUUCUAGCUGCAUUUAGAAAAGGCAGAGGAACC